rnacentral:rRNA from 1 species
GACGUAGGGCGCGAGCGUUGUCCGGAUUUAUUGGGCGUAAAGGGCGCGUAGGCGGCUCUGCACGUUCGUUGUGAAAUCGCCCGGCUCAACUGGGCGGGGUCAGCGGAUACGGCGGAGCUUGAGCAAGCUAGGGGGCAAUGGAAUUCCCGGUGUAGUGGUGGAAUGCGUAGAGAUCGGGAAGAACACCCGUGGCGAAGGCGGCGUGCUGGGUUGCAACUGACGCUGAGAUGCGAAAGUGUGGGGAGCAAACGGG